AUCAUCUGAACGAGAGACAUGAGAAUCACAGCCGGAGGAAGGAUCUGCAGUCGCUGAUGUGAAGAGUGUGUGACCGACAGCAGUGAGAGAAAGAAGCAAAGUGUCCACUAUCAGCGCUGGACUUCAACCCGUCACUGCAAGGUGACUGAAUCAUGACCUGAUUACCGGCCGAACCCAGACCUCCGGCAGAGAUCCGUCACAACAUCACAGGAAUCAGCCAUGAAGAGAUGAGGAUGUGUGUGCUGCUGUGUCUCUGUGCUCUGAUCUCUGCUGUCCGCUGUGUGCUGCCCGUACAGACUCAGCCUGAGCAGGUGCACGUCUCGUAUCCAGGUGUGAAGAACUCGAUGCUGGUCACAUUGUCCACCGAUGAUGACGCCAGAGAGAGCGUUGUUGAGUAC